GACGAACGCUGGCGGCGUGCUUAACACAUGCAAGUCGAACGGAAAGGCCCUGCUUUUGUGGGGUGCUCGAGUGGCGAACGGGUGAGUAACACGUGAGUAACCUGCACUUGACUUUGGGAUAAAUUCAGGCAACUGGGGCUAAUACCGGCUAGGAGCUCCUGCUGCAUGGUGGGGGUUGGAAAGUUUCGGCGGUUCGGGAUGGACUCGCGGCUUCUCAGCUUGAUGGUGGGGUAGUGGCUUACCAAGGCUUUGAAGGGUAGCCGGCCUGAGAGGGUGACCGGCCACAUUGGGACUGAGAUACGGCCCAGACUCCUACGGGAGGCAGAAGUGGGGAAUAUUGCACAAUGGGCGGAAGCCUGAUGCAGCAACGCCGGGUGCGGGAUGCCGGCCUUCGGGUUGUAAACCGCUUUCGCAUGUGACGAAGCGUGAUUGACGGUAAUGGGUAAAGAAGCACCGGCUAACUACGUG
rnacentral:rRNA from 1 species